GAUGAAGAACGCAGCGAAAUGCGAUAAUUAAUGUGAAUUGCAGAAUUCAGUGAAUCAUCGAAUCUUUGAACGCACAUUGCGCCCGCCAGUAUUCUGGCGAGCAUGCCUGUUCGAGCGUCAUUUCAACCAUCAAGCCCCAGGCUUGUGUUGGAGCCCUGCGGCUGCCGCAGCCUCCCAAAACCAGUGGCGGGCUCGCUAUCACGCCGAGUGCAGUAGUUUACUCUUCGCUCAGGGCGUGUGGCGGGUGCUAGCCGUGAAACCCCCAACUUCUCAAGGUUGACCUCGGAUCAGGUAGGAAUACCCGCUGAACUUAAGCAUAUCAAUAAGCGGAGGA
rnacentral:misc_RNA from 1 species